rnacentral:rRNA from 1 species
CCUACGGGAGGCAGCAGUGAGGAAUAUUGGUCAAUGGGCGCGAGCCUGAACCAGCCAAGCAGCGUGAAGGAUGACUGCCUUACGGGUUGUAAACUCCUUUUAUAAAGGAAUAAAGUGAGGCUCGUGUGCCAUUUUGUAUGUACUUUAUGAAUAAGGAUCGGCUAACUCCGUGCCAGCAGCCGCGGUAAUACGGAGGAUCCGAGCGUUAUCCGGAUUUAUUGGGUUUAAAGGGAGCGUAGAUGGGUUGUUAAGUCAGGUGUGAAAGUUUGCGGCUCAACCGUGAAAUUGCAAUUGAUACUGGCAGUCUUGAGUGCAGUUGAGGUAGGCGGAAUUCGUGGUGUAGCGGUGAAAUGCUUAGAUAUCACGAAGAACUCCGAUUGCGAAGGCAGCUUGCUGAACUGCCACUGACAUUGAUGCUCGAAAGUGUGGGUAUCAAACAGGAUUAGAUACCCCUGUAGUC